rnacentral:rRNA from 1 species
UGGUGGAGCGAUUUGUCUGGUUAAUUCCGAUAACGAACGAGACUCUAGCCUAUUAAAUAGUUCGCCGAUUUUUCGAGUCGGCGUCAACUUCUUAGAGGGACAAGUGUCGUAUAAGCACGCGAGAUUGAGCAAUAACA